UGGGGAAUAUUGCACAAUGGGGGAAACCCUGAUGCAGCGACGCCGCGUGGAGGAAGAAGGUCUUCGGAUUGUAAACUCCUGUUGUUGGGGAAGAUAAUGACGGUACCCAACAAGGAAGUGACGGCUAACUACGUGCCAGCAGCCGCGGUAAAACGUAGGUCACAAGCGUUGUCCGGAAUUACUGGGUGUAAAGGGAGCGCAGGCGGGAAGACAAGUUGGAAGUGAAAUCUAUGGGCUCAACCCAUAAACUGCUUUCAAAACUGUUUUUCUUGAGUAGUGCAGAGGUAGGCGGAAUUCCCGGUGUAGCGGUGGAAUGCGUAGAUAUCGGGAGGAACACCAGUGGCGAAGGCGGCCUACUGGGCACCAACUGACGCUGAGGCUCGAAAGUGUGGGUAGCAAACAGGAUUAGAUACCCUGGUAGUCCACACCGUAAACGAUGAUUACUAGGUGUUGGAGGAUUGACCCCUUCAGUGCCGCAGUUAACACAAUAAGUAAUCCACCUGGGGAGUACGACCGCAAGGUUGAAACUCAAAGGAAUUGACGGGGGCCCGCACAAGCAGUGGAGUAUGUGGUUUAAUUCGACGCAACGCGAAGAACCUUACCAAGUCUUGACAUCCCUUGACAGACAUAGAAAUAUGUUUUCUCUUCGGAGCAAGGAGACAGGUGGUGCAUGGUUGUCGUCAGCUCGUGUCGUGAGAUGUUGGGUUAAGUCCCGCAACGAGCGCAACCCUUAUGGUCAGUUACUACGCAAGAGGACCCUGGCCAGACUGCCGUUGACAAAACGGAGGAAGGUGGGGAUGACGUCAAAUCAUCAUGCCCUUUAUGACUUGGGCUACACACGUACUACAAUGGCGUUAAACAAAGAGAAGCAAGACCGCGAGGUGGAGCAAAACUCAGAAACAACGUCCCAGUUCGGACUGCAGGCUGCAACUCGCCUGCACGAAGUCGGAAUUGCUAGUAAUCGUGGAUCAGCAUGCCACGGUGAAUACGUUCCC
rnacentral:rRNA from 1 species